rnacentral:rRNA from 1 species
UUGGAGGGCAAGUCUGGUGCCAGCAGCCGCGGUAAUUCCAGCUCCAAUAGCGUAUAUUAAAGUUGUUGCAGUUAAAAAGCUCGUAGUUGAAUUUCGGGAUCAGAUUGUUGGUCGUGCCUCGGUACGCACUGGCAUUAUUGGUUCCUACCUUCUGAAGAACCGCGAUGUCAUUAAUUUGGUGUCGUGGGGAAUCAGGACUGUUACUUUGAAAAAAUUAGAGUGUUUAAAGCAGGCGCACGCUUGAAUACAUUAGCAUGGAAUAAUGAAAUAGGACGUUUAAUUCUAUUUUGUUGGUUUCUAGGAUCGACGUAAUGAUUAAUAGGGAUAGUUGGGGGCAUUAGUAUUCAAUUGUCAGAGGUGAAAUUCUUGGAUUUAUUGAAGACUAACUACUGCGAAAGCAUUUGCCAAGGAUGUUUUCAUUAAUCAAGAACGAAAGUUAGGGGAUCGAAGACGAUCAGAUACCGUCGUAGUCCUAACCAUAAACUAUGCUGACUAGGGAUCGGAUGAUGUUAAUUUUUUAAUGACUCAUUCGGCGCCUUACGGGAAACCAAAGUGUUUGGGUUC